rnacentral:misc_RNA from 1 species
AACCCCAGUCCCCUUCUCCUCCCCCGCCGGAACCCUAAUCCCCGCCGCAAUCCCCACCGGAACCCUAAUCCCUGCGGCGAUCCCCACUGCCAUGGGUAAAUUUGACGCCAAGUCGAAAGAGCAAGACGGCGCCAGCCCAGGGAAAAUAUUCAUCGGCGGACUUCACAAGGACACAACCCUCCCUACAUUCACUAAGCAUUUCGGGCAGUAUGGGGAUAUUAUUGAUUCCGUGAUUAUGAAG